rnacentral:rRNA from 2 species
UUAAGCGACUAAGCGUACACGGUGGAUGCCCUGGCAGUCAGAGGCGAUGAAGGACGUGCUAAUCUGCGAAAAGCGUCGGUAAGGUGAUAUGAACCGUUACAGCCGGCGAUGUCCGAAUGGGGAAACCCAGUGUGAUUCGUCACACUAUCGUUAACUGAAUACAUAGGUUAACGAGGCGAACCGGGGGAACUGAAACAUCUAAGUACCCCGAGGAAAAGAAAUCAACCGAGAUUCCCCCAGUAGCGGCGAGCGAACGGGGAGCAGCCCAGAGUCUGAAUCAGCUUGUGUGUUAGUGGAACGGUCUGGAAAGUCCGACGGUACAGGGUGAUAGUCCCGUACACCAAAAUGCACAGGCUGUGAACUCGAAGAGUAGGGCGGGACACGUGGUAUCCUGUCUGAAUAUGGGGGGACCAUCCUCCAAGGCUAAAUACUCCUGACUGACCGAUAGUGAACCAGUACCGUGAGGGAAAGGCGAAAAGAACCCCGGCGAGGGGAGUGAAAAAGAACCUGAAACCGUGUACGUACAAGCAGUGGGAGCACCUUUAUGGUGUGACUGCGUACCUUUUGUAUAAUGGGUCAGCGACUUAUAUUCUGUAGCAAGGUUAACCGUAUAGGGGAGCCGCAGGGAAACCGAGUCUUAACUGGGCGUUAAGUUGCAGGGUAUAGACCCGAAACCCGGUGAUCUAGCCAUGGGCAGGUUGAAGGUUGGGUAACACUAACUGGAGGACCGAACCGACUAAUGUUGAAAAAUUAGCGGAUGACUUGUGGCUGGGGGUGAAAGGCCAAUCAAACCGGGAGAUAGCUGGUUCUCCCCGAAAGCUAUUUAGGUAGCGCCUCGUGAAUUCAUCUUCGGGGGUAGAGCACUGUUUCGGCUAGGGGGUCAUCCCGACUUACCAACCCGAUGCAAACUACGAAUACCGAAGAAUGUUAUCACGGGAGACACACGGCGGGUGCUAACGUCCGUCGUGAAGAGGGAAACAACCCAGACCGCCAGCUAAGGUCCCAAAGUCAUGGUUAAGUGGGAAACGAUGUGGGAAGGCACAGACAGCCAGGAUGUUGGCUUAGAAGCAGCCAUCAUUUAAAGAAAGCGUAAUAGCUCACUGGUCGAGUCGGCCUGCGCGGAAGAUGUAACGGGGCUAAACCAUGCACCGAAGCUGCGGCAGCGACACGAUGUGUUGUUGGGUAGGGGAGCGUUCUGUAAGCCUGCGAAGGUGACCUGUGAGGGUUGCUGGAGGUAUCAGAAGUGCGAAUGCUGACAUAAGUAACGAUAAAGCGGGUGAAAAGCCCGCUCGCCGGAAGACCAAGGGUUCCUGUCCAACGUUAAUCGGGGCAGGGUGAGUCGACCCCUAAGGCGAGGCCGAAAGGCGUAGUCGAUGGGAAACAGGUUAAUAUUCCUGUACUUGGUGUUACUGCGAAGGGGGGACGGAGAAGGCUAUGUUAGCCGGGCGACGGUUGUCCCGGUUUAAGCAUGUAGGCUGGUUAUCCAGGCAAAUCCGGAUAAUCAAGGCUGAGGUGUGAUGACGAGGCACUACGGUGCUGAAGUAACAAAUGCCCUGCUUCCAGGAAAAGCCUCUAAGCAUCAGGUAACACGAAAUCGUACCCCAAACCGACACAGGUGGUCAGGUAGAGAAUACCAAGGCGCUUGAGAGAACUCGGGUGAAGGAACUAGGCAAAAUGGUGCCGUAACUUCGGGAGAAGGCACGCUGGUGUGUAGGUGAAGUCCCUGCGGAUGGAGCUGAGACCAGUCGAAGAUACCAGCUGGCUGCAACUGUUUAUUAAAAACACAGCACUGUGCAAACACGAAAGUGGACGUAUACGGUGUGACGCCUGCCCGGUGCCGGAAGGUUAAUUGAUGGGGUUAUCCGUAAGGAGAAGCUCUUGAUCGAAGCCCCGGUAAACGGCGGCCGUAACUAUAACGGUCCUAAGGUAGCGAAAUUCCUUGUCGGGUAAGUUCCGACCUGCACGAAUGGCGUAAUGAUGGCCAGGCUGUCUCCACCCGAGACUCAGUGAAAUUGAACUCGCUGUGAAGAUGCAGUGUACCCGCGGCAAGACGGAAAGACCCCGUGAACCUUUACUAUAGCUUGACACUGAACAUUGAGCCUUGAUGUGUAGGAUAGGUGGGAGGCUUUGAAGCGUGGACGCCAGUCUGCGUGGAGCCAACCUUGAAAUACCACCCUUUAAUGUUUGAUGUUCUAACGUUGGCCCCUUACCGGGGUUGCGGACAGUGUCUGGUGGGUAGUUUGACUGGGGCGGUCUCCUCCCAAAGCGUAACGGAGGAGCACGAAGGUUAGCUAAUCCUGGUCGGACAUCAGGAGGUUAGUGCAAUGGCAUAAGCUAGCUUGACUGCGAGCGUGACGGCGCGAGCAGGUGCGAAAGCAGGUCAUAGUGAUCCGGUGGUUCUGAAUGGAAGGGCCAUCGCUCAACGGAUAAAAGGUACUCCGGGGAUAACAGGCUGAUACCGCCCAAGAGUUCAUAUCGACGGCGGUGUUUGGCACCUCGAUGUCGGCUCAUCACAUCCUGGGGCUGAAGUAGGUCCCAAGGGUAUGGCUGUUCGCCAUUUAAAGUGGUACGCGAGCUGGGUUUAGAACGUCGUGAGACAGUUCGGUCCCUAUCUGCCGUGGGCGCUGGAGAAUUGAGGGGGGCUGCUCCUAGUACGAGAGGACCGGAGUGGACGCAUCACUGGUGUUCGGGUUGUCAUGCCAAUGGCACUGCCCGGUAGCUAAAUGCGGAAGAGAUAAGUGCUGAAAGCAUCUAAGCACGAAACUUGCCCCGAGAUGAGUUCUCCCUGAGACUUUAAGUCUCCUGAAGGAACGUUGAAGACGACGACGUUGAUAGGCCGGGUGUGUAAGCGCAGCGAUGCGUUGAGCUAACCGGUACUAAUGAACCGUGAGGCUUAACCUU